rnacentral:ncRNA from 2 species
ACUAAAUAUAGUGGCCAAGGUCUCUCGAGUCGCAACACCGAGAGCUAAGAGGGAAGCCGGUGCGUCUCGGUCCGUGAUCCGGGCAAGGCCGGCGCUGCCCCCGCAACUGUAAGCGGCGAGCCGAAGUCCACUUGAGUGUCACUGGGGCUGCAAGGCUCUGGGAAGACCGGACCGAUGCCUGGACCCGCAAGUCAGUAGACCUGCCGUGGCAAAAAAAGAAUG